AGGACCGAGAAGAAAAGAAAAAGGGGGAGGGGGGUGAGGGGCGUAGGGCAGGAUGAAGGAAAAAAAGCCGGGAGAGGGAGAAAAGAAAUCUUCCUUUUGCAAAAGGGGGCAUAAUGUGGCUCAGAGGUUGCCAAAGCAAAAGGUUUUGCUUUAUUUUGUUUUUUGCAACCGAGGCGUUCGGGGUGGGGCUGGCUCGAGGGAAGGGUGGAUGGGGAGAAGGUCACUGUGUUACCGCAUGGCGAGAUUUAUUUAUUCCUUUGGAUCAUUUCGGUUUCUCACCGGAUGGCUUUGAUCCUGGACUCCUAAAAAUAUUUUUGAAAGACCACCCACCCCACCCCCGCAUCGUCCUACUGACUAACUCCUCGGAACUCUCGAGGUUGCGCAUAAACCAUUAGAUUUUUUUUUCUAGAACAGCCCCAUUCUCUGCCCUGGGGGAGCCGGGAGAAUGUGCAGCUUCAGUCCUCCAGCUCGGCGGAGCCUCCCGUGCAGAGCCUAGCGCGAUUCGCGCUAUCAUUACCCCUACAAAGCGCGGGCCAGACCAAGCCCCUUUCUAAUGCACCAUUUUCGACUGAGAACAUUUUGGCAAGAAACUUCCAAGUCAGCCUGCAAAUGCAGACGCCUCCUGGGUCCUGGCUUUAUCUCCAGGGAAAGUUCCAUUUUAAGAACCAGAUGCCAACAUUCCCGGACAGUUUAUGGCAUCCGGAUCCCUCAAGGGUGCUCAUCUGCAGUUGAGAGCCUAGUAAAUGGCAUUAACAAAGCGUUUCACGGACUACAACGGCUUAACAGUGGCUCCUCCCCUGCCCUGCGACCAUCCGGGCCGUCAUUCCUUCCAGGAUUCCCGCGCGGUUCUGUGUGCCCAGAGCGCGAGCGCCAGGUAGAACUCCGUGCUACAUCCAAUUGCUUGCAACCUUCCGAUUCCCUUUUAGGGAGAUCAUUUUUCAGCUUGGCUCAAAGAAAGCGAAGUUUGGCGGAGGGUCCGAUUUAACGACGGGCACUGCAAAUAUUUUGUUACAAAUGCUGUGAAGUGUCCCGAUUUGUGGCCGCGUUCAGCUUUCACAAAGGAUUUUCCUGUGACUUUUGUUCCGGUCACCAAAUUAAAAAAGAAAAUUAACUUGAGCAAGAGAUAAGGUCUUGGAAAACAAUCUCGGGCCGCCCGCGAGCUGGCGGGAGCAGGG
rnacentral:lncRNA from 1 species